AGGCUCAAGGUGUAAGCACAGUGAUGUGUUAAGCCAGCGAGUACUAAUCGGUCGAGGGCUUGACCUC
rnacentral:rRNA from 1 species